AUUGAACGCUGGCGGCAUGCUUUACACAUGCAAGUCGAACGGUAACAGGUUAAGCUGACGAGUGGCGAACGGGUGAGUAAUGCAUCGGAACGUGCCCGAUCGUGGGGGAUAACGCAGCGAAAGCUGCGCUAAUACCGCAUACGAUCUGAGGAUGAAAGCGGGGGACCGUAAGGCCUCGCGCGAUCGGAGCGGCCGAUGUCAGAUUAAGUAGUUGGGGGGGUAAAGGCUCACCAAGCCGACGAUCUGUAGCUGGUCUGAGAGGACGACCAGCCACAAUGGGACUGAGACACGGCCCAGACUCCUACGGGAGGCAGCAGUGGGGAAUUUUGGACAAUGGGCGAAAGCCUGAUCCAGCAAUGCCGCGUGCAGGAAGAAGGCCUUCGGGUUGUAAACUGCUUUUGUACGGAGCGAAAAGGCUCUCUCUAAUACAGGGGGCUCAUGACGGUACCGUAAGAAUAAGCACCGGCUAACUACGUGCCAGCCGCCGCGGUAACAC
rnacentral:rRNA from 1 species